UGGCAACUUAAAUGGUCCCUAGUGUGUGAAUAUUGUGUUGGCCCUGCGAUGAGGUGGCGACUUGUCCAGGGUGUACCCCGCCUUCCGCCCGAAUGCAGCUGUGAUAGGCUCCAGCACCCCCGCAACCCCGAGAGAGACAAAUGGUAGAAAUUGGAUGGAUGGAUUCAGACUGUCUACAAGUUGAGAACAGGAGAUCAAAAGUACAUGUUGCAAUAAGAAAUUGGACAUAUUUACAGAGGAGUAUGAAGCCGGACUCGAAGCUGCGACAUCAGCUGCUUGCUACUCUGAGACUUCAUUGGAUAAAUGUGAAAUAAAGGAGGCAGCACACAAGUGGAACAAAGCUGAAAUGGACCAAAAAGAAUCGCCUGGCCCUCAUGAAUUCAUCAUUUACUGAGAGGAUGACUUUCUGACUGUUGGACAUUGUGGACAAAAGCC